GAUCCUGGCUCAGAAUCAACGCUGGCGGCGUGCCUAACACAUGCAAGUCGAACGAGAAAGUGGUAGCAAUACCAUGAGUAAAGUGGCGCACGGGUGAGUAACACGUGACUAACCUACCCUGGAGUGGGGGAUAACUGAGGGAAACCUUAGCUAAUACCGCAUAAUACCUACGGGUCAAAGGAGCAAUUCGCUUCAGGAGGGGGUCGCGGUCGAUUAGUUAGUUGGCGGGGUAAUGGCCCACCAAGACAGUGAUCGAUAUCCGGCCUGAGAGGGCGCACGGACACACUGGAACUGAAACACGGUCCAGACUCCUACGGGAGGCAGCAG
rnacentral:rRNA from 1 species